AGCGGCAGACGGGUGAGUAAUGCUUGGGCGAUCUGCCCUCGAGAGGGAGACAACCUGCCGAAAGGCGGGCUAAUACCCCAUAAGACCACGGCAUCCAAAGCUCCGCUUGAGGAGGAGCCCGAGUCCUAUCAGGUAGUUGGUGAGGUAACGGCCCACCAAGCCUUUGACGGGUAGCCGGCCUGAAAGGGUGAUCGGCCACACUGGCACUGAGACACGGGCCAGACUCCUACGGGAGGCAGCAGUGGGGAAUUUUGGACAAUGGGGGCAACCCUGAUCCAGCGACGCCGCGUGAAGGAUGAAGGUCUUCGGAUUGUAAACUUCUUUUGGAAGGGACGAUUGACGGUACUCUCUGAAUAAGCCACGGCUAACUACGUGCCAGCAGCCGCGGUAAUACGUAGGUGGCAAGCGUUACUCGGAAUCACUAGGCGUAAAGCGCAGGUAGGCGGUUGGGGAAGUCUCUUGUGAAAGCUCCCGGCUCAACUGGGAG
rnacentral:rRNA from 1 species